rnacentral:tRNA from 1 species
GCUGGGGAUUUAGCUCAGUGGUAGAGUGCUUGCCUAGCAUGAGUAAGGCACUGGGUUCGAUCCUCAGCACAGCA